rnacentral:rRNA from 1 species
AGCAUGCGUUUUGUGCGGCGAAUCCAGGAGUCUGAGGUCAAGGAGGCUUUAAAAAGGAUGAAAGGAGGCAAGGUGAUGGGCCCUGAUUGUAUACCCAUUGAGGUGUGGAAAGGUCUCGGGGACAUAGCGAUAGUAUGGCUAACCAAGCUUUUCAACCUCAUUUUUCGGGCAAACAAGAUGCCAGAAGAAUGGAGACGGAGUAUAUUAGUACCAAUCUUCAAGAACAAGGGGGAUGUUCAGAGUUGUACUAAUUACCGUGGAAUUAAGCUGAUGAGCCAUACAAUGAAGCUAUGGGAGAGAGUCAUUGAGCAUCGCUUAAGAAGAAUGACAAGUGUGACCAAAAAUCAGUUUGGUUUCAUGCCUGGGACGUCGACCAUGGAAGCCAUUUUCUUGGUACGACAACUUAUGGAGAGAUAU